GCCUUCGGGUGGGGAAUAACAGCCGGAAACGGCUGCUAAUACCGCAUAAUGCAGCGGCUCGACAUCGAGACAGUUGUUAAAGCGGGGGAUCGCAAGACCUCGCGCCUGAAGAGAAGCCUGCGGCGGAUUAGCUAGUUGGUAAGGUAAUGGCUUACCAAGGCGACGAUCCGUAACCGGCCUGAGAGGGCGGUCGGUCACACUGACACUGACAUACGGGUCAG
rnacentral:rRNA from 1 species